rnacentral:misc_RNA from 1 species
AUUAAGGAUCCAAACAAAGGGUUAGGGAAAUAUUUAGCCACUUCAUUGUUUAGCGUUGCAAAUUUUGCAGAAAAGCUGCUUCUAGAUACUGAUGUACCUUGGGAAGGAAUUGGUGUAAAGGGAUUAAUUUUUGGCGUCUACUUUUUGCAUCAAUUUUUGCAUAUAUUUACUAAAUUAUUCUUAAUGCUUGCUUUUAUGUUAUAUUUCAUGAUCUGCCUUAAGUUUAGCCUUGAAAAAUUACUCAACACCAACAGUUAGGCCCAUGGAAAUGCUCUUUGUGUGUUCUCAGGACUGGGAUUACAAAUUUUAUCAUUGUGGUAAUCAAGUCUUUUACUGUUGAGUCUUAUGAGGUUACAGCCAGAAAUUGAAUUUCUAACUAAGCUUAUGUAAUUGGCUUUUUAUGGUAGAAAAAUACAUAAAUUAGCUAGAGAUGACCAUUACCAUCGAAUGCUUGCAUCAUCUAGCAACAAUUGAUUAGGACAAAAUUUUGCUUGCUAUUCAUUUUCGCAAGUGAAUCCAACUUCAUUUAAAUUGAUGAAAUUUAAUUAUUUUCACUAUUACGUGAUAAUGAAAAGAUGAACAAAGGGAGGGGGGAAAUUUUCCGGUGUUUUACAUGAUAGUUGCAUCCUAUGAAGCAUGGAAACGCCUAUCACUGGCGUUUCCAAGUGUCGGAAACGUUUCCGUCCCGGAAACGGUGGGACACGGCCUUGAAACGUUUCGGGGCCGUGUCCGGAAAAUCCAAAAAAUGGAAACGCGUUUCCCAUUCGGAAACGCGUUUCUCCUAAAAAAAAGGAAAUUGCAGCAGGAGGAGAAGAGGACCCAACUCUCUUUUACUGUUUCAUUUCCCAUCAGCAAGCAACCAGGCCAACAAAAUUUACCAAAUCAACAAACCAAAUCUUUUUUUUUUCUUUUAAUUACACAAUAAUACAAAAUGUAAUAAAAAAGAUCAAGGCAAAGCAAAAGCACAGGAAUUGAAAGAUGAAUUAGAAGAAAGAAAACCCUAGAUUAACUAGGCAAAAGUUCAAACAAUGACUCACUUGGAAGAGAAGAGAUUAGAUU